rnacentral:rRNA from 1 species
AGCGGCGGACGGGUGAGUAACACGUAGGCAACCUGCCCACAAGACAGGGAUAACUACCGGAAACGGUAGCUAAUACCCGAUACAUCCUUUUCCUGCAUGGGAGAAGGAGGAAAGGCGGAGCAAUCUGUCACUUGUGGAUGGGCCUGCGGCGCAUUAGCUAGUUGGUGGGGUAAUGGCCUACCAAGGCGACGAUGCGUAGCCGACCUGAGAGGGUGAUCGGCCACACUGGGACUGAGACACGGCCCAGACUCCUACGGGAGGCAGCAGUAGGGAAUCUUCCGCAAUGGGCGAAAGCCUGACGGAGCAACGCCGCGUGAGUGAUGAAGGUUUUCGGAUCGUAAAGCUCUGUUGCCAGGGAAGAACGUCUUGUAGAGUAACUGCUAUAAGAGUGACGGUACCUGAGAAGAAAGCCCCGGCUAACUACGUGCCAGCAGCCGCGGUAAUACGUAGGGGGCAAGCGUUGUCCGGAAUUAUUGGGCGUAAAGCGCGCGCAGGCGGCUCUUUAAGUCUGGUGUUUAAUCCCGAGGCUCAACUUCGGGUCGCACUGGAAACUGGGGAGCUUGAGUGCAGAAGAGGAGAGUGGAAUUCCACGUGUAGCGGUGAAAUGCGUAGAGAUGUGGAGGAACACCAGUGGCGAAGGCGACUCUCUGGGCUGUAACUGACGCUGAGGCGC